rnacentral:rRNA from 1 species
AUUGAACGCUGGCGGCAGGCCUAACACAUGCAAGUCGGACGGAGCGGCGGACGGGUGAGUAAUGUAUGGGGAUCUGCCUGAUGGCGGGGGCUAACUACUGUAACCGGUAGCUAAUACCGCAUACUACCAGAUGAACCCAUAUUGGAUUAGCUAGUCGGUAAGUUAACGGCGUACCAAGGCGACGCUCCCUAGCUGGUCUGAGAGGAUGAUCGGCCACACUGUGACUGAGACACGGUCCAGACUCCGACGGGAGGCAGCAGUGGGGAAUAUUGGACAAUGGGCGAAAGCCUGAUCCAGCAAUGCCGCGUGUGUGAAGAAGGUUUUCGGAUUGGAAAGCACUGUAAGUUGGGAAGCGUUACUAAAGAAUAAGCACCGGCUAACUACGUGCCAGCAGCCGCGGUAAUAC